rnacentral:rRNA from 1 species
GGACUCAGGGGGAAGUAUGCUCGCAAGAGUGAAACUUAAAGGAAUUGACGGAACGGCACCACCAGAUGUGGAGCCUGCGGCUUAAUUUGAUUCAACACGGGAAAACUUACCAGGUCCAGACAUAGUAAGGAUUGACAGAUUGAAGUUCUUUCUUGAUUCUAUGCAUGGUGGUGCAUGGCCGUUCUUAGUUGGUGGAGUGAUCUGUCUGGUUAAUUCCGAUAACGAACGAGACCUCAGCCAUCUAACUAGCUGUCGCUAACUCGUUAGCGCUCGGCUCCGGCCGAGUUCAGCUUCUUAGAGGGACAAUCUGUGUUCAGCAGAUGGAGGAUUGAGGCAAUAACAGGUCAGUGAUGCCCUUAGAUGCUCUGGGCUGCACGCGCGCUACAAUGACGCACACAGCGAGUUCCCUGGCUCGGCAGAGCCGGGUAAUCUUGAAAGUGCGUCCAAGUGGGGAUAGAUGAUUGCAAUUGUUCAUCUUGAACAAGGAAUAUCUAGUAAACGCAAGUCAUCAACUUGCAUUGAUUACAUCCCUGCCGUUUGUACACACCGCCCGUCGCUUCUACCGAUUGAAUUGUGCGGUGAACUGGGUGAAUUGGAACUCGCUCCGGCGACGCUCUGAGAAGCCCCGUGAACCCUGUAAUUUAGAGGAAGGACAAGUCGUAACAAGG